ensembl:lncRNA
UUGUGGUUAGGCCUUCAAUGAUGAUUUGUUUAGUGAGAAAAUAGGUAAGCUUCGUAAUGUGAGUGAGAAGCGAUCGGAAAAACAGGCAGACACAAAGUAUAAACAGUGAACUAAAACAUUAUUUAAGGAUGGAUUAUUUUUUCGGAUUUAUAUAAUUAAUGAUGUGUUAGGUGAGGUUAUGUGUCAUGUUGCAAUAUGAUUAAUGAUGUGUUAGGUGAGGUUAUGUGUCAUGUUGCAUGUUGUAAUAUGAAUAAUGAUGUGUUAGGUGUGGUUAUGUGUCAUCUUGCAUGUUGUUAUAUGAUGAAUGAUGUGCUAAGGGAGGUCAUGUGUCAUGUUGUAAUAUGAUUAAUGAUGUGUUAGGUGAGGUUAUGUGUCAUGUUGCAUGUUGUAAUAUGAUUAAUGAUGUGUUAGGUGAGGUUAUGUGUCAUGCUGCAUGUUGUAAUAUAAUUAAUCAUGUGUUAGGUGAGGUUAUGUGUCAUGUUGCAUGUGUGUGUGGGGGGCGCCAGGGGUGAAGCUUGCCCUGUGCAUGUUUACCAUUGGCCAGCAACCCUUAGGCUUAUUGGUUAAGAAAUUAGUAAAUUCAGGUAUUAGGGAUUUUUAUUGGUUGGCGGGGAGAGACACGUGGGGAAGCAGAGACAGAGAAGGAGAGAAGCGAGGACGACGAGAGAGAAGUAGAGAAAAACACCUGUGC